AACACCGGUUGAUCGUGCCGGAGGCCACUGCUAUGGGGGUCCGACUAAGCCAUGCGAGUGGUGGGCGCCUCCGCAAGGGGGUGGCCCCGCGCACGGCUCAGUAACACGUCGUCAACCUACCCCGGGGACGGGGAUAACCUCGGGAAACUGAGGAUAAUCC
rnacentral:rRNA from 1 species